UUCGGAUUGCAGGCUGCAACUCGCCUGCAUGAAGCUGGAAUUGCUAGUAAUCGCGGAUCAGCAUGCCGCGGUGAAUACGUUCCCGGGCCUUGUACACACCGCCCGUCACACCAUGGGAGUUUGUAACACCCGAAGUCAGUAUCCUAACCGCAAGGGGGGAGCUGCCGAAGGUGGGAUAAGCGACUGGGGUGAAGUCGUAACAAGGUACC
rnacentral:rRNA from 1 species